UACCUGGUUGAUCCUGCCAGUAGUCAUAUGCUUGUCUCAAAGAUUAAGCCAUGCAUGUCCAAGUACAUGCCGAAACAAGGUGAAACCGCGAAUGGCUCAUUAAAUCAGUUAUGGUUCCUUAGAUCGUAAAAAUCCUACUUGGAUAACUGUGGCAAUUCUAGAGCUAAU
rnacentral:ncRNA from 1 species